AUUGAACGCUGGCGGCAUGCCUUACACAUGCAAGUCGAACGGCAGCACGGGAGCAAUCCUGGUGGCGAGUGGCGAACGGGUGAGUAAAGCAUCGGAACGUGCCCAGUCGUGGGGGAUAACGUAGCGAAAGCUACGCUAAUACCGCAUACGAUCUGUGGAUGAAAGCGGGGGACCGUAAGGCCUCGCGCGAUUGGAGCGGCCGAUGUCAGAUUAGGUAGUUGGUGAGGUAAAGGCUCACCAAGCCGACGAUCUGUAGCUGGUCUGAGAGGACGACCAGCCACACUGGGACUGAGACACGGCCCAGACUCCUACGGGAGGCAGCAGUGGGGAAUUUUGGACAAUGGGCGCAAGCCUGAUCCAGCAAUGCCGCGUGCAGGAUGAAGGCCUUCGGGUUGUAAACUGCUUUUGUACGGAGCGAAACGGCUUCCACUAAUACUGGGGGCUAAUGACGGUACCGUAAGAAUAAGCACCGGCUAACUCUGUGCCAGCAGCCGCGGUAAGAC
rnacentral:rRNA from 1 species